rnacentral:ncRNA from 1 species
UGUUAAGAGGUUGCCUCUGUCGUUACCUGCUCAAGCAGAUACGGGAAUGCAACUGUUGA